rnacentral:rRNA from 1 species
AGAGUUUGAUCAUGGCUCAGGAUGAACGCUAGCGGCAGGCUUAAUACAUGCAAGUCGUGGGGCAGCGCGGGUAGCAAUACCUGGCGGCGACCGGCAAACGGGUGCGGAACACGUACGCAACCUUCCUUCAAGUGGGGGAUAGCCCAGGGAAACUUGGAUUAAUACCCCGUAAUAUUGUGAGAUGGCAUCAUUUUACAAUUAUAGCUACGGCGCUUGGAGAUGGGCGUGCGGCUGAUUAGGUAGUUGGCGGGGUAACGGCCCACCAAGCCUGCGAUCAGUAACUGGUGUGAGAGCACGACCAGUCACACGGGCACUGAGACACGGGCCCGACUCCUACGGGAGGCAGCAGUAAGGAAUAUUGGUCAAUGGACGCAAGUCUGAACCAGCCAUGCCGCGUGGAGGAUGAAGGUCCUCUGGAUUGUAAACUUCUUUUAUCUGGGAAGAAACCCAUUUUUUCUAAAGUGGUUGACGGUACCAGAUGAAUAAGCACCGGCUAACUCCGUGCCAGCAGCCGCGGUAAUACGGAGGGUGCAAGCGUUAUCCGGAUUCACUGGGUUUAAAGAGUGCGUAGGUGGGCAGGUAAGUCAGUGGUGAAAUCUCCGGGCUUAACCCGGAAACUGCCGUUGAUACUAUCUGUCUUGAAUAUCGUGGAGGUGAGCGGAAUAUGUCAUGUAGCGGUGAAAUGCUUAGAUAUGACAUAGAACAUCAAUUGCGAAGGCAGCUCGCUACACGGUUAUUGACACUGAGGCACGAAAGCGUGGGGAUCAAACAGGAUUAGAUACCCUGGUAGUCCACGCCCUAAACGAUGGAUACUCGACAUAUGCGAUACACUGUAUGUGUCUGAGCGAAAGCAUUAAGUAUCCCACCUGGGAAGUACGACCGCAAGGUUGAAACUCAAAGGAAUUGACGGGGUCCGCACAAGCGGUGGGAGCAUGUGGUUUAAUUCGAUGAU